UGGGGAAUAUUGGACAAUGGGCGCAAGCCUGAUCCAGCAAUGCCGCGUGUGUGAAGAAGGCCUUCGGGUUGUAAAGCACUUUUAUCAGGAACGAAAAGCGUGGGGUUAAUACCUUUACGUGCUGACGGUACCUGAGGAAUAAGCACCGGCUAACUUCGUGCCAGCAGCCGCGGUAAUACGAAGGGUGCAAGCGUUAAUCGGAAUUACUGGGCGUAAAGCGUGCGUAGAUGGUUUGUUAAGUCGGAUGUGAAAGCCCCGGGCUCAACCUGGGAACUGCAUCCGAUACUGGCAGACUAGAGUGUGGUAGAGGAUGGCGGAAUUCCCGGUGUAGCGGUGAAAUGCGUAGAUAUCUGAAGGAACACCAGUGGCGAAGGCGGCUUCCUGGACCAAUACUGACACUGAGACGCGAAAGCGUGGGGAUCAAACAGGAUUAGAUACCCCAGUAGUCCCUGAGCGGGCUGGCAAGGCGCAU
rnacentral:rRNA from 1 species